rnacentral:tRNA from 1 species
UCCCUUGUGGUCCAGUGGCUGAGACUCUAUACUUCCAAUGCAGGGUGUGCAGGUUCAAUUCCUGGUUGGGGAA